rnacentral:rRNA from 1 species
GAUGAACGCUGGCGGCGUGCCUAAUACAUGCAAGUCGAGCGAACAGACGAGGAGCUUGCUCCUCUGACGUUAGCGGCGGACGGGUGAGUAACACGUGGAUAACCUACUUAUAAGACUGGGAUAACUUCGGGAAACCGGAGCUAAUACCGGAUAAUAUAUUGAACCGCAUUGUUCAAUAGUGAAAGACGGUUUUGCUGUCUCUUCUAGCUGGAUCCGCGCCGCAUUAGCUAGUUGGUAAGGUAACGGCUUACCAAGGCAACGAUGCGUAGCCGACCUGUGAGGGUGAUCGGCCACACUGGAACUGAGACACGGUCCAGACUCCUACGGGAGGCAGCAGUAGGGAAUCUUCCGCAAUGGUCGAAAGCUUUACGGAGCAACGCCGCGUGAGUGAUGAAGAUCUUCGGAGCGUAAAACUCUGUUAUUAGGGAAAAACAAAUGUGUAAGUAACUAUGCACGUCUUGACGGUACCUAAUCAGAAAGCCACGGCUAACUACGUG